AGGCUUCCAGGCAACACUCGGCCUGGAAAACACGGCUUUUCUUGUCUGUGAGGGUUGAAGAAGGCAUCCAGAGCACGGCCCAUCUCCUAUGGCUCCGUCACCUACCUGCUCGUGCAGAGAGGAGCAGAAUCUGUAAGGGCUGUCACCCCUCAUUCCUGCCCAGUAGGAAGGAGGAAGGCAGAUUUCUUCUCCAAAUGCUGCUUUUGUGAGACUGACCUCUGAUUGGGUGACACGUGUCAUGGAGACAGCCGGGAUGUUUCAAGUGCUGGCUCCCUUUGAAGGAGGUCUCCUUCACAGACUGGAUCUUCAGGUUAUCAAAUACUGUUGUGUCCACAAUUGGUUCCUUCCAGUGAGUUCUUGAUCUCACUGACUUCAAGAAUGAAGCCACGGACCCUCGCGGUGAGUGUUACAGUUCUUAAAGAUGGUGUGUCCAAAGUUUCUUCCUUCUGGUGGGUUUGUGGUCUCGCUGACUUCAGGAGUGAAGCCACAGACCUUCACUGUGUGUGUUACAGCUCUUAAAGGUGGCACGUCCAGAGUUGUUUAUUCCUCCUGGUGGGUUCGUGGUCUCGCUGACUUCAGGAGUGAAGCUGCACACCUUCGCGAUAUGGAAACUGAGACUGAGAGGAGUUACGCAACCUGCCGCCCUUGAAGCCACAAAAUUAGAGCAUGGUGGAGGCAAACCAGUGGUGCCUAAUUUACCACUUGCUUAUUACCACUGAAAGAAGAAAUGACUUUCCAGGUGUUUUGGGUGCUAAUUCAAUUCUUUAAGUGCUUAUUUAGGACCUGGCAAUGUUUGUCCCCCAGGGUAAGGGGUAGGGUAUCUUUAAAGGUGACAAUUGGUAUCCUUAUAUACAGGGGAGACUUUAUCUCAGCUUUUAUAUCCAUACAAUAGAGUUUUAUGUCUGGGCAUGGUGGCUCAUGUCUGUAAUCCCAGCACUUUGGGAGGCCGAGGUGGGUGGAUCACCUGAGUUCAAGAGUUCGAGACUAGCCUACCCAACAUGGCAAAACCCCGUCUGUACUAAAAAAAUACAAAAAUUAGCUGGGCGGAGUCUGCAGUGAGCCAAGAUCGCGUCAUUGCACUCCAGCCUGAGGGACAGAGUGAGACUUUAUCUCAAAAAAAAAAAAAA
rnacentral:lncRNA from 10 species